UCAGGGAAAGGGAAAUCUGUAAACACUGGCCAUUGAAGAAUACGGUUUCUGAGAAUUUCCACUCUGAAUUCACAUUCCGUUCAGUGUUAUCGCCACCCUGUGGAUUUCUUGGGUAAUGAAACUCAGACAGGGAAAUGAAAACGGGGAUUUUCAGUAAAUCGGUUCCAGUACAUCUCUGCUGCUCUUGUGGGCGCCCUCUUUUGAGCACCGGAGGAAUGAGCACCGUUCUUCAUUCUUUUGGUUUUGUAAAGUUGUAGAGCUGCGUUCCUACCUCACUGGCUUUGAGCACAACCCAGGAAGAAGUUUGAAACCAAGAAAAUGGUGAUUGGGAAGACCAGGAUGCGCAAUGGCAAAGUGAGAUCCUGGUUAUCUCUUUUUCUUCUAGCAUUUGUUUCCCUAAGUGGAAUACGAGAUUUACUGCAUUUUUUUGGUGAAUGAUAUGAAAUAGAAGACAGAUGUUCAUGACUGGAGGGCUUAUUGAGAAUUAUGUUAAGCUUGCUGACAACUCUGGAAUACACAGUAGGCACCCAAUACAUACAAGGGAGUAAAUGAAUGAAUUAAAGCUGUCUGUAUCUGCUGAUCGUCCACAAUUUAGACGUCCUAUACUACAUUCCAAUUGAGGGUAAGCGGGGUACGUGUCCUGAAUUUGUAGAAUCUUUUGACACAAAGCAACAGAGCCACAGUCAAGACUCAAGUCAAAAGAAAUUUAGACCCCAUCUGGGCAAACAGGCCUCUAAGCAACAAUCUAAGAUUUCCACCUAUUGUUCUGGCAUUCCUUGUAUAAAUGAUUAUGACUGCAGAGAUCUUAGGAAGUGCUGUGGUACCUUUAGAUGUGGCCUGAGGUGCAUACAUCCUCUUAUGAUUGACCCUGUAUUGUUCAAUUCACCUCCACAAUCCAAGGCAUAAAUAUUGGAUGGAGAAAUGGAUUCAGAUGGAGGCAUCAUUGAGCUUAUUCUUGACUCAUCUCAGUCCAAACAUUACUCUGUCAAUCGUUGUUCUUAAAAUCUGCAUAUUAAAAGCUCAGCAUCAACU